UGAACCAAGUGUGUGACAAUUGAAAAAUUACUUGAUGAAAAAUUACUUGAUACCUAAUGUAUCAAGCUCCAUAGAUUUAUGGUUUUGAAUGUGUGCUUGACACAAUGUUGGUGCCUAAUAAAUGUUGCUCUUUCACAUUGUACCAUCCAUAACCCGAAAAUAAUAUUUUGUUAGUAGUGGAUGUUCUAGAACUAUUGACUCAUUAGCUAUCCCACCUCUGUAAUGUACAGUCACUUCCUAGCAUAUGGAACAGUUUCAGGACCAUAGCACUUAUUUUAACUAUACACACCAAAUGCUUUCCUAAUUUUAAACAUCAUAUCAUUGUCUCACCCAUUUUGAAUUAUACAGAGCAAUUGUCCUCAGCUCUACUGUCUGCAGAUGCCUUUGGUCUUGCAACAUAUCGUAUGGAUCACCUACUUUGUCUGCUUCCAUUCACCAUGGCAAGAAAAAUCCAACCAGAAUUAAUGGGCAACUGGGCCCCAUUCUCAUUGGGAGCAUCUGUUUCUUAUUAAAUAUCAUAAGUAACUUAUUAAUUCUUGCCAGAAGCAAAAGUAAAGACAUUGUCGUACUGAAAGCUUUACCAGUACAAAAGACCAGUCAGCAGAGCACCUGGAGGACUUGCUGAGACAGUGCCUGGAGUGUCAUUAAUCUGGGGACACAAGAUGUCAGAUUUCUUCUGUUAGCUUCCUGAGGAAGACAAAGUCAGAGUCUGUCUGAACAGCAGAACCCACCCUUUUUUAGUUGAUUUGUGUGGUUGCACUACAACAAUGAGUGGAUGGGUUAGUAUUUGGUGGCAUGACCACACAAAUCCCAUGGCAGAUCCUGGCAAAUCUCAUAAAAUGUGGAUGCAGGAAAGGAUAUGAGAGAAGGCCAGGCUAAAUUCAACCACUUGCAGGCAUCAACUGAGGUCUUAAAAUGUGAGGUGACUACUUCAAGGUCACCCAGAAAACUGAUGGCAAAGCCAGGAUAAAGAUCCAGAGCCUCUAAAGCCUGAGUUGUAUUUUGUGUGCACAAUGUCACACAAAAAGACAUCCUUUCCCUUUGACAGCCAGCCCCGAUAUGAAUGAGUAAUCUCUUGGAGAAAGUUUGGGGGUUUUGCAGUGUACCUUUCCUAAUGCUUGGAUUUUGGAAGGAUAUCAACAUGUCUUUUCUGCAAUGAUGAUGAUAAAAUAAUAAUGGCUAGUAUCUUUUUAGUCAUUGCUGUGUGCUAGGAGUUAAGUGCUUUGCAUGCAUUUUCUCAUUUAACCCUAACAACUAAAUUAAGUACUUUUGAAUUUUCAUUUUACAGAUCCUGAAACUGAUUGCUUAGAGUGAUUAAAUAAUUUGCCCAGUGGUUGGAGCCAGGGCAUAAAACAGGUACAAUGAACUCCAGUAUCUGUGAUUUGGUCCCUAUAUUGCAUUGUCUUUAACCACAUUGGAUGUUUUUAGCUUUUAUGUCAGUUAAUUUGUCAGUUUCUGCCAGCAUAUUUUGACUUCUUUGCUGUAGAUGAAAUAUUUUCAUGUAAAAAAUUCAUUUUAUGUAUUGAUGUUUGUUUCCU
rnacentral:lncRNA from 1 species